rnacentral:tRNA from 1 species
GGGCCCGUAGCCCAGCCAGGAUAGGGCGCCGGCCUCCGGAGCCGGAGAUCCCGGGUUCAAAUCCCGGCGGGCCCGCCA